GAAUGCCUCUUGCCUCCGGAGCGCGACGGCAGCAUGGUUACUACACAUGAGCAGAGCGCGCUCACUCGGCGUAGUAUACGAGAGGCGCCUGACGCCUUGCCAUUAAGCUACGCUGUGCUGUGAGGGUCACAAAUCAUAUACUUGUACAUUAAGUCACCAAGUGUCCCAAUCUGGUCACUGUGGGAAUUUGAAUUCUUUCAAGAUCCUGUGUAAAUUUGGGAAACUCUACAAUUACACUCAGGAUUCAGGAGUUUUGCUUCACAAGUGAAAGACUACACAAUGCGAUCUCGUUGAGGGCUACAUCCCUGUCUUCUUAAAGGGGGGAAAAAAGAAACCUUUGGUGAGAUCAAUGCGGAACAGGAGAGCUAAAGGGGAGAGAUAAUCUUGGACACAAGAUAAGAUCUCCUCUACCCCCCCACACCCCCACACCCACGCCCCCACCUUCGUUCGUCAACUCCACAGACCUUCAGCCUGCCCUCGUCCUGACGAAAGGAGAAGAAGAAGUGAGCGGCUUCAGCUGCUGAGCUGAAGAAGAGAGAUUAGAGUCGAACUGAUCCUGGCGUCUGUGAGAUGAAACUCGGGGAGGGAACACUCAACUGCAUCAGGGAGCGAACGCCAACAACUGACCCUGAGUUUGACAGUCUGGAAGAAGACACUGCCCUCCUCAGAUCCUUUGGCCAUCCUGUGCUCGAGAAUGAGUGGAACCGACUUUGCAGCUAGUUGCCGUGGAUGUUUGUGCACCACAGAAAGGCCGUCUCUUGCAGCAUGUCCAAUGCUAUGUUUCUCCUGAUGCUGUGCAAGGUCAGCUUGAGAAGAAAACUACAGAUUUUUUCUACGAAAAUGGUAAACACUUCCAUCAAUGAUGAAGAAAGGGGAAUUCAAGAUAAGGAAAGCAAGGAAGAGUCCAUACUGGCUAUGCUGGGGAUCAUUGGAACCAUCCUCAACCUGGUUGUCAUCAUUUUUGUGUACAUCUACACAACAUUGUGACCAGAGAGAUCUCUGAAAUGAUUGGCAAACCUUACAUGUUGGAGGACUGGGUGCUGAGCAGCAAAGCUAUUGACUUGCUUGUUGAUCAAAGGGGGCUCAAAGAGGAUCAUACCAAGAGACCAUUGUCUGUGGGACCCUUGAAACUGGGGCACUGGUGUGAUCAAAAGUUAUCAUAUGAACACUGUUUCCAGUUCUUCUGUAUAUAUGCAUGAGAUAAUGACUCCCACAAAUGCAGCUUGGAGUAACUGUUCAUGUUCCAAUUUAGCCAAGACCCACAUCACAGAACAGCAUCCGAAAUGCAGUUUUCAUUAAGACUGUGUAAAUCACGCAUUGAGAUUAGGAGACAACAAAAACAAGAGGCUGUAGCACAAUAUUGUGAGCUGAGCGAGCAUUCUUAUAUAAACGGGGAAAACAAUAGAUUUUUACACAGUACACCUUGAAGCUUAAGACUGAAAGAUAUUUCAGACAUGCUGUGAGCUACUAUGUGUUUCUCAUUUAUAAUGAUAAAUACUCAGAAUCUAUUAUAAGAUAUUUUGUUUAUACCAACAUGACUUUGAUAUUUGUAAUGUGUAUGUAGGAUAAAAUGGUUGGGGUAAUAUUUUAUUCACCCUUGAAUUAUGUUUUUACUGCCUAGAGACAUAGCAAAAGCUGUUUGGAAUUAUUUGAUGCAACUUAUUCUUACAUGUGUUGCCAGAAAUAUGCUACUUGGUUAUUUGGGUUUAAUUAAUAAUUCAUAGACUCAGUUGAGCCCUAGGGCUAAAAUUAAAAUAGUGGACAUCAGCAAGAAAUAUAAGGAAUAUAAGGUUUUUUCUUGAACCAGGGUCAACACCCCUUCCCUUUACAAAGAGUUCUUCAGGAUCCUAAGUGGCAACUGAUUCACAAUCUCUCUCAGCGUUACGACUGAAGGCUCUCUCUCAGAUGGUAACUUUCCCAUGAAGCAUCAAUUUAUUUUUGUUCCAAAGAUCGGCAGCCAGUCCUAGCAUACCAACACCUUUCCAACUGUGUCUUCUCAGGCGAUUUUACCCUGGUGUCAUCCGGCAUACAAGCUUCAGCCAUUUAAUAAGAAGGCCAUGUGAUGGUAUGGAUGUUGGAUAGUGUAUAGUUUGCACAAUUCUACAUAAGUAACAGUGACAUUGUAUGUGUAAAUAAGGGUACAUGGUGCAUACUUGGUCUUAGUGCAUUUAAUGUGUUUCUAGGUAUACAACAACAUAAGAUAAAGCGAUACUUUCAUUUAAACGUUAUGCUUAAACUUUAGUGGAUUCAUUGAAUAUACUCAUGUCUACAGCUGGGUUAUUAUAUCAAGACUGUUUUGUAUGACCACUCCAUAUUUACUCUAUUACAUUGUACAGUUAUUUCUUUUCACAAAGACAUAUACACUACCUGGAAAUAAUCAUAAUACUGCCUUAUGCAUGAAACUAUUUUUUUUUGUGUGGAUCCAGGAAGACAGUAACAGCUUGUUAAAUGUCAGACAGCAAUGAUUAUAACAUGUCAAUGUAUUGUAUUUUAAAUGGUUUCAGCUUAUGUUAAGGUAUAGGACUAUAACUUGCACAGGUGAUGCACUAAUGAUAUCCUUUAAGUCGAUUAGUUAGCCGAUAUUUACAAUGUUGCAGUCCAUUGCAGUUCAUUCCAUUUCUGUAAGGGGUAAAGGUGGUAGUAGAAUCAUAAAGCACAAAUAAAGAGGGCACGGUUACUUAAAUAUAUGAAUUUAAAAAAAAAAUUUCUGUGCCCAGAAAA